rnacentral:tRNA from 1 species
UCCCUGAUAGCUUAGUUGUAAAGAAUCUGCCUGCAAUGCAGGAGAUCCAGGUUCAAUUCCUGGGUCGGGAC